rnacentral:rRNA from 1 species
UACGGAGGAGGCAAGCGUUAUCCGGAAUUAUUGGGCGUACAGCGUCCGUAGGUGGCUCUUCAAGUCUGCUGUCAAAGAGUGGGGCUUAACCCUGCAAAGGCAGUGGAAACUGAAAGGCUAGAGAGCCGUAGGGGUAGAGGGAAUUCCCGGUGUAGCGGUGAAAUGCGUAGAGAUCGGGAAGAACAUCGGUGGCGAAAGCGCUCUACUGGACGGUAUCUGACACUGAGGGACGAAAGCUAGGGGAGCGAAUGGG